rnacentral:snoRNA from 1 species
UAUUUGGAUAUUCCCAUUUGUUCUAAGAAUUAUUCUCCAGAUAACAAAUAGCAGGAGUUUAAUGCUUGUGCCGCAUUGCAUGUGGACUGCAAGUUUGGCUCUUCUGUUACAUAU